rnacentral:rRNA from 1 species
UACGUAGGGUGCAAGCGUUGUCCGGAAUUACUGGGCGUAAAGGGCUCGUAGGUGGCCAACUAAGUCAGACGUGAAAUCCCUCGGCUUAACCGGGGAACUGCGUCUGAUACUGGAUGGCUUGAGUUUGGGAGAGGGACGCGGAAUUCCAGGUGUAGCGGUGAAAUGCGUAGAUAUCUGGAGGAACACCGGUGGCGAAGGCGGCGUCCUGGACCAACACUGACACUGAGGAGCGAAAGCCAGGGGAGCAAACGGG